CUAACCUCCUGUCCUACCACAACUCCUCUCGCCAUAACCUCCCUCAACACCUCUCUCUCUCUCUCUCUCUCAACCAGAGGCCAAAGAAUUUUGCAGUAUAUCUUGUUGUCGUCGAUCGAUAUGCUUAUGUAGAUAUACAAGUUCUCGGCUAAGCGUUUCUUCGAUUUGAUGAAGGAUGAGAAACUCCUGUUUUGUUGUUAAUUUCUUCAAAUCAUAUGCUUUUACUAUCUUAAGACCUAUACUUCUUUUUAUUACGGCGAUAUUUCUCAGAUCUGCCUUUCUUAGUCACAUUUUUCAUAUUAGGUCUUCUCCUUUGAAUUCGGUAUUUGGAAUAUUAAGGUUGAAUUAUGGUUUCUACGAUCAAUUGUAGGGAAAUAGUUGGUGUUUGGAUGCUCUCUAUGUAUUUGUGAUAUAUGUUUGAUGGAACAUUAGGUUCCCUGUGGUGGGCUAGCUUUCAACAUUGAUGAAGAUUCAGAUACCAAAGUGGUCGAUUGGAUAAGACGAUGUUGAUUUAAGGAUUUGGUUUUCCUGAAUUUGGGAAUUAUCUAACUUUUGUUUUUUUGGGUUGACAUUUUACAGGUAUCCAUUUCUGCCACCAAGCGUGACCUUUGCUAAUUGGAUUUUCACGUGAAUAUCACUUGCAAAGGUGGAAAUGACAUUCUCAAUAAGUCAAUAUUCCUUUAAAGGUGAGUGAGUUUUUCAUUGCCUCUGAAACAUGAUGCUAUAGUCACUACUACAAAUUUGGCUAUAGGACACCGAUAGGGGCCUCUGAUACGAGUUGGUUUCUAAACUAGUCCACUUUGGCACUGUUGGGCUUCACAUUAGUGCCUUUGCGUUACCAAGGCAACGAAUAUCGGUGGCCCAGUACUCGAAAUCAAUAGAACAACACAAGAAGUAAUUGAAAGGGCCCAGCCUUUUAUGCCAAUAUUGACGCAACCUACCUCUAUGUCAGAAGACGGGGGUUAAAGUCAUGGCCUAAACCUCUUUCCACACGACACGACGUGGGUUAAGUCAUGGCCUUGAUCUCAUUUGACACUACGCUUCUUUCUUUCUGACUUGUUUAUCAUCGAUUUCAGACUCAGAGAAGUAUAACUGUGACCACCCCCUUCAUCUCUUCUAUCUCAUUCUCAUCGCUGGAUCUUCUUACUACCAUGGCAGCGCUUACAGUUGGUGUUUGCCUCGACCUCAGAUUGGAGAUUUCCGAUAGAUUUGGAAAAAGAAAAAGAAAGAAAUGGAUGAUGAGUAUGCUAAGUUCGUGAGGCGGAUGAACCAACCCAGGAGUUCAAGUCCUUUGAGGCUCUUGAUAUGGAGAAUUUAGACCAACCAGUGGUCAAAUACAAUAGCCAAUCUGUGGCUUAUUCUGAAGACACCAUGGUCUAUGACAUGGUAGUUGGUGACAAAGCUGAUUUUGGAACAUCUUC